GUCAGUCCGUCUUCUCUCUCGCUCUGCUUCUUCCUUUCCAAAUCCUUUUUCUCUUUUUCGUACAGAACUGAGCUCUCUCUCUUGAUUCACUCUCCUUCCAUAUCUGAUCUAAUCUCUUUAAUUCCUCUUUUCCAAGUUAAUUCACCUGAUUUAGGGGUUAUGCUUCAAAUUCACUUGAUUGAACCAUUAAGUUUGAGGAAAAAACUUAAUUCAUCUGGAUUCAUCUCUAGAAGUCGUGAAUGGCUAGAACGACAUCAAAGAAAUCAAAGACAAGAGAUCAAAGACAAGAGAUCAGAAUUGCAGUAUUUCUCCACUCUUAUUACAAACCAAAAUUCCAGAUUCAAGUAAGCAAUGUAAUGUGCUUGGAAGUUGGAACAUCAUCAAUAGAUCAAUGUACUAGCAAAAAGACUAACUGUUCGAAGAAUUAUAGCAGUUAGAUUAGAUCCUAGAAUACAAGCUCGGCAAGACAUGAAUGCUGGGAAGAAAAUAUAACAACAAAGAUAUGUUCGAUUAAACAAUCGGCGUAUUUUUGAAAAGGCAAAACGAGCAGCAAUGACGGAAAAUGAAAGACAAGAGCUUCUUCAAAAACGACUCAACGCUUAUCAUAUGCCAACAGCAGCACGAGACACACAUCCAACAAAAAAUGAGCAUGAAGCAUCAACAAGUUCUGAUGGAUUCACAAGGUAAGAUUUUGGGUUUCUAUCCACGUCGAAGUCCAAGAAUUAUCGACAGGCAAUCUCAACAACAAGGAUAUGCUCACUUACAGCGACGCCGUGCUACAUAUGCAAGGCAAUCACAACAGCAAAGAGAUUGUCACUUACAGCAGGGUCGUGCUGCAUAUGAAGUAAAACAAGAUUCGAUAGCUGAAGUCGAAACACUAGCGCUUCUUGAUCAAACUGAGUAAUGCUUAUCGCAUUGAAGGUAAAAGGUACCUUCCUGACACCAUUGAUGUUGCCAGUGGAGGACGACAACAAGGAUCUACAGGCUGUGAAUGUUAAGAAAUGAACUCUUUCAGUUUAGCCAUCUCGAGCCUUUGGGUAAAUAGCGAAGUGCAUCAGGUUCCCCACUGUUGGAUUGAUAUCAAGUGCAGUGAAAUUUAUUAAAGUUCCUUUUGUAUAUCCCAAAGAAUUCUAUACAAAACUGGAAGUCUGUCUCUUAUCAUUUUUCUCAUUAGAACUGUUUAUGUUUCCAUUUUCAUCAUAAAAUCUUUGUAUGAAGACAGAUACCUAAUAAGCCUACUAGCGAAGAAGUUGUUUAGUUUGUCA